CUUGGGCUUAUUCGUAGGCAGAGGUGGGUAGGAACCCGUUACAAUUACUCCGUUACAUUUACUCAAGUUGCAUUUUGGAUAAAUUGUUCUUAGUUUUAAUGCAGCAUACGUUUUACUUUUACUCGAGUAGUUAUGUUUGCUUUAUGUAUGUAUGUAUGUAUUAAGAAGAAACGGUACUUUUACUCCGUUUAUUUAUCAAUUAUUGCUUUUUAUUCGUGUGCGAUGUGUUCAGACUACGGCUUCCGCAUUGGGCUUUUUGCUUCAAUACAACGUAAUUGCUAGCGACAAUCACAUGACCGAACAAAACGUCUUCUAUUGGGCUUCGCGGGCACAUGUACAAAAAGUAGAUAUGGCAACCUGGUAAUCGACGUACGUAUGUGGCGGCCAUGUUGGGGAGGUCGUCGUUACUAUGAAGGCAAUGGCGCGCCACUAAGUUUAAAUUUCACACAACAAAAACAGCAGCUUUCAUGCAUUGUGUUAAUUUGGAUGGCACAUUCUGCCCAAACGUGGAUACUACAGCCCACUUCUAAGUUGAGAAAACAGCUUGCGAAGCCCUCACGUGUGAACUGGCCUUCUUUUCUCGACACUUGCACCUCCCACGCGCCCUCAGCACUUCCUGCGCCUGCGCCUGCGCCGCCGCACGUUUCCAUUGUGGUUCAUCGGGCCAUUGAGCAGAUGAGCUGAAUAACCGCGGAGGGCGGUGGGUGAGGGGGCAACAGCAACGGGAACAUGGAUCAUGGGCAUGUGUGUGUUUGUGUGUGUGUGUGUGUGUGUGGUCUGUGCCACGUCUAUAAGUGGCAGAUUGGGCUAAGAGAGGAAGAGAUGGAAUACUGACUCAUGAAGAAGUGCCACAUUUGUCACCUCACUUUUAGAAAUAGAUAUAUCAGGCCGCUACUUGAAAGAGGAAGGCAGAAAUAUCACAUGAAUUGUCACAGCCAACUGGAGGGGUACAUCGCAGUGCGUAUGACUGUGUGUUUGUGCGCGUGUGGAUUUGUUCUUGUUCAAGUUUUAUCAAAUUUUGAGAAGUGUUUUCCUUCACUAAUCAAUGCAACUUGUAUUAUUUUCAGUCCUUUUUUAAGAUAGAACCAGAUUAAUUUACUGUAUGUAUACUACACUUAGUAGUGCAGAUAUGCAGUGUUUAGCCUGUUUGCAUCAAAAUCUAUGUAGGAGUUUAUACAAAAAUAAAUCCAGUCUAAAGAGCAAGAAAUGCAAUUUUUCAGAUUGAAUUUGAUAGCAAAUUCCAACAAUAUAACCGCUUUUUUUUCAUAGUAUUUCACGUUAUAUAAUAUUAAAUUUCAGUAAAUAAUUCAAUUGCUAUGGUUUAUAUUCUUUUAUUUUAUUUUUGUGUAGCUUGGUAGACAGUACAAUCAUUAUUUCAUAUCUUUUUACCUUACAUUACAUUUCAAUAAAUAACGUAACCACCGCCGUAGUGGCACGGUUUUAUAUUAUUUUAUUUUUCAUUACGUUUCCAAAGAUAAUAGAACCACUAUGAUUUAUAUUACAUUAUAUUACAUUGUAUAUUAAAUUUAAAUGCAAGAAAUAACCACUGUUUUUACUAUUUUAUUUUUGUUUAAAAUUUCAAUGAACAUAAUAAUGUCCUUUUGGAAAAGUACCGUAUUUUCGGCCCUCUGUAUGUUUCAAAUAUAUUGAGGACUGACAAUAACAUGCUACCUUAUCAUACCAUCUGCUUUAAAGAAAAACACAUUUUAUGUAAUUAGAUUUAGUCCAAUGUGAUGUAAUGUUUUAAAUACAUUGUACAAUGUACUGUACAAUAAAUUGUUUUCUUUUAAAAAAAUUUAUACAAUAUUAUUUUUAUAAUACUAUAAUACUUGACUUUAGAGUUGAAUUCAUUCUGACACUCUCAAAUCAUCUUUCCCCAUCAAAGUGGAUGGAAAUGCCAUUAAUCUGUUCCAGCCCGACAAUAAAGCACCCCCCAAGAA